rnacentral:rRNA from 1 species
UACGGUAGGUGAACCUACCGAAGGAUCAUU